rnacentral:rRNA from 1 species
GACGAACGCUGGCGGCGUGCUUAACACAUGCAAGUCGAACGGAAAGGCCCUGCUUUUGUGGGGUGCUCGAGUGGCGAACGGGUGAGUAACACGUGAGUAACCUGCCCUUGACUUUGGGAUAACUUCAGGAAACUGGGGCUAAUACCGGAUAGGAGCUCCUGCUGCAUGGUGGGGGUUGGAAAGUUUCGGCGGUUGGGGAUGGACUCGCGGCUUAUCAGCUUGUUGGUGGGGUAGUGGCUUACCAAGGCUUUGACGGGUAGCCGGCCUGAGAGGGUGACCGGCCACAUUGGGACUGAGGUACGGCCCAGACUUCGACGGGAGGCAGCAGUGGGGAAUAUUGCACAAUGGGCGGAAGCCUGAUGCAGCAACGCCGCGUGCGGGAUGACGGCCUUCGGGUUGUAAACCGCUUUCGCCUGUGACGAAGCGUGAGUGACGGUAAUGGGUAAAGAAGCACCGGCUAACUACGUG